rnacentral:lncRNA from 1 species
UUGUCAAAGAAGCCAAAAAUUCUUGAAACAAAUGCUACAUUAUGUCGCGUUGUUGAUGACAUAGCAAGCUACGAGGUAUAUCUGUAUUAGACAAAACAAGAUCAUUUUAAUUGUGUUGACAAGCUAAAUAUAACCAUACUAUUGAUUACAUAUUUAAACCUGCUUUAUUAUUUAUAUUUUAGGUUGAGAAGGGUAAAGGCCAAAUUUCCACAAGAAUUGAGUGUUACAUGAGAGAUUAUGGCAUAUUAACAGAAGAGCUAAUGGACAAAUUCCAAGAAAUGGUUGAAAUAGCGUGGAAGGAUGUGAAUAAAGGAAUUCUCAAACCAACUCACGUCCCUAGGGAGAUUUUUAAUCGCAUUCUCAAUCUUGCACGUUGCACGUGUUAUAGAUGUCACAUACAAAUACAAUCAAAGUAGUAAAAGUUUUUAAACCAAAGAUAUCGUUGCUCUGCUAGUGGAAUCUAUCGAAAUAUAAACCCUCAACCUUAUGCUGAUCUAGAGAGCUGUUGGCUCCCCUUUGGAAAAAAAUAAUUUCUUCAUGUUAUUAAUUUUGCAUGUAUGUUGUAUAUAGUUUUUUAAACUAGGUUGUUUGUUAUGUUGCGCUAAAUAUCCUUGCUAAUUUGGGCAAAAAAUCGGUACUUCGUAUUUUUGAUAUCUUUGCAUUAAGCAUAUAUAAUUAUGUUAUUUAACAAUGUAUCCUUUCUUAACGCCCAUCACAACAGUUGUUUUCAAUCGAUACUCGUCACGCCCAAAGAUUGCGUAACGCCUUAGAAUCAAAAUUCUUCAAUAAAAAAUAACUGGCUUGUGAAGAAUAGAUUUACUGAUCUCAACCUUAUAAGAUAAAAUGUGAGUUGAUAGAAUCUUGAAAUAAUUAAUAACAAACUUAAGCAAGAAUCAUGACUCAAUGGCAAAAACCAACUAAGAACAUAGAGAAAAAUUAUUUAUUUAUAUCUUAAGUUAUAAUAUAAAUCGACCAUAAAAAUUAAAGCUACUAGAAACAGCAACCAAAACUCCUAAGAAGAGUUGAUGAAACCCAACCAAGUUAAACCCUAAUAACAUAAUAUUCAUAGGAAAAAUAAAGGUGAAGAAAAGAACCCUCCAAAUACUAAAAAAAGUUUUAAUGCUUUGAAUCUUGUUGUGGGACAUCAUGAGAAUAUCCAGGAAAGUUUGGUGGAAAAGGAAACCAAGGACGAUAGUAAUAAGGAAAAUAUGGAGAGCUAUAGCUGCCAUAAGGGUUAGAGUAGGAAAAACCAUUGCCAGGAUUAUAAUUGUAAGAACCUUGAAUUGGCUGCCCAGGGCCCCAGCCAUAGCUAUAUGAGAAGGAACUUGCUUCUCCACUGCUGAUCAUCAAUGACACACAUAUGCAAAGAGAGAGGAAUAUUAUCAUGGAACUUGACUUAGCCAUGAAUUGAUGGGAAAGAAUAUAUCGCUGAGGUAAUUAUUAUUAUAAAAAUAAAAAUAGAUGAAAUGGAAUGAACUAUAUAUGGUUUAGUAUUUAUAGUGUUGAGUGGAGCUGAUUUUGUUUAGAUGGGAGAUUAGCUGUAACUUCAUUUUCUUGGGGAUAAGCUUUAGAUGGACACUUGAUAAGGUAUUG